UAUUCUCACUGCACUUCCAAAGUCUCCAAGGUUAAAAUAAAAGGAGUAAAACCAAGCUAAUGGCCUUUCAUAUCACUGCUGACCUAAGACUCCAUCUGAGACCUAAGCUGAAACGCCUUCCUGUUAUUGAAAAUAACAGAAAAACUCAUUCUCUUUCAGAAGCCAAGUUGAAGAGCCCUUACAAAUCCUGAGCUGAAGCUUGGAACAAACAGGAACUUCGCAACAGGACCUCAGGACUGAGCUAUGUCCAUGAACCAAAAUAGAACACACCUGGAUUUCUACACCAUGUCUCCAGCAUCCAGACAAAAUUAUUCAUAUUAAGUAUCAGGAUGAAAGCAGAAGUAAAGAAUAUGAAUCAGCGCACUUGGUAUUGGUUCUUGGUAUUCCUUUUAAGCCCUUAUAGAUCCUGUUUCUUUUUUCUUGACAGCUUGAUUGAUUGCCAAGAUACAGAAAUAAUCUUGCACUUCAACUUGAUUAGGCCAUGCCCAGUUCUAGUUUUGCUCCAAAGGAACAAAACAGAUGUAAUAAAAGGAAAAUAGAACAGAUAGAGAAUACAAAAUUUUAUACCUAGAGUAACAGAAAGAAAAAAAGAAAAGUUUUUAGAAACUUUUCAUUAAAACCUUAAACAAUAUGGAAAGUAACAUACCCUGUCCCAAGAACACACUCCUCUGCAACACCAAAUCAAAUUGAACAAUGGCUCAAAAUAAAGAGAAUCUUUUUGAAAAGAACGACAGAUAAUCUUUCUGAGGCUGAUAUAUAGAUUUAUGUAACACACCAUUCAGUUCUGGAGCAUACAUUUCACAAAUGAGUAUGAACCACAGCCAGAAAUAAUCAAUAGUAAUGUGAGAGAUUAAUGUGAGAAUGUGAGAAUAGAGAAUGUGCAAGUUAAAAAAGAAAAGAAGCCAAAAUCUCAGUCAAAAAAAAAGUUGUUUUUCUUUCCAGCAGGGGAGGAAGGAAGGCAACAGAAGAAUCAGGAUAGCAGAGGCAACAGGAGGCUCAGAAGUAUGAAGGUCAUAGGAAGAGUGUUAAACUGCCUGAAUUUGUUGAUCUCUGAGAUACUUUACAUGACUACUUCCUGGCUUUUCCUGAGAAAAAGAGGUAAAUGAGGUCACUUCUUAAUGUGAUCAACAGGGAUGGUCAAAUACUCCAAGGCUGCUGCAACAUUUCACCACUAGAUGAGAAGAUCAUUUAGUCCUAACCUGCAAUCUCUCUUUUCUUUUCUUUAGUGUCUGCUAUUUAAGAAUAAGAUGACCUUAUUUAUUAUGAAAGUUAGACUUGGUUUCCUUAUGAAAUUCUUGAUGAGGGAACUUGGAAGCUUUUUGUGGAAACCCAGACAGACUGUAUCAGGCAGAUCACACCCAUCUGUUUGCUGAAAGCAUCAAGAGUACUGUAAGGGACUUGUAAUGCAGUGCUUCUUUUUUACUAAAGCUACAUUUACCCUAUUCACUAUCUUUAUAAAGAUAUAAACUGGUUAAAUUCUCUAUUAUAUUUGUUGUAACUUUUCCAGCAUAUAAACCACCUAACGAAGCUUGGGGUUUUUUUUAUUUCACUUACACUUUCCAAACAGCAACUACAUCUUUCACCUAUUUUCUCUGAAUUUCUUUGUGGAAACCCAGUAUGUGGCAUUAGCAGCACUUAGCAGUAUUGUUCAGUAAUUUCUCUGUUUCUUUGCUCCACACAGAAGAAACAGACUUACUACAGAGACAGUUAUUCUAUACGAUCUUUCCCAUUUCAGAUAGCAUUGCAGUCUCUGGUGAAUUAUCUUGAGAAUACUUCACACAGCUGCUGCUCAGACAAAGGAACUACAGCACGCUCCUUAGACAAAGAACUGAAAUGCACUCAUUUUCUCUGUUAUUGGACAAGCUUGAUGAUCAUUAUCUGUCUGUGCCAGCAACCUUAACCUGUGAAAAAUGUAAAGCCAGAUUCAAGUGUUUUACCAUCCCAGACUAACAGGCAACUCUCUGGCCAAAGAGUAUGACAAAAUAAAAUAUUUCUAUAUGGUUCCAUGAACAGAGUAAAAAGACCCCAUGAUAACCAUAAACACUCAACAUCCAUAGAUAAUCCUAAAUGAAAUAAAUCCGUUUCUAACUAAAAUGUCAGGUAGAAUGACUGAGAAAAAAGGACAAAAAAUAGAUACUAAAAGCCUAAUGGAAAAUUUUUGUAGUUACCAUGAAGUAUUUCUAGCCAAAAUAAGCAAUUGCUACAUGAAUUUGAUGUGAAACACA